CAGCAUGUCUUCAAAAUGGAGCAAGAGGAAUAUACAAAGGAAGAAAUUGAUUGGAGUUAUAUAGAGUUCGUUGAUAAUCAAGAUGUUCUCGAUCUUAUUGAGAAGAAACCUGGCGGCGUUAUUGCUCUUCUGGACGAGGCCUGUAUGUUUCCAAGAUCAACGCACGAAACAUUUGCUGAAAAGCUAUAUCAAACACUUAAGGACAAUAAG